rnacentral:tRNA from 1 species
ACCUGGCUGGCUCAGUCAGUACAGCAUGUGACUCUUAACCUCAGGGUCAUGAGUUCAAGCCCUAUGUUGGGUG